AACGAACGCUGGCGGCAUGCCUAACACAUGCAAGUCGAACGAGAUCUUCGGGUCUAGUGGCGCACGGGUGCGUAACGCGUGGGAAUCUGCCCUUUGGUUCGGAAUAACAGUUGGAAACGACUGCUAAUACCGGAUGAUGACGAAAGUCCAAAGAUUUGUCGCCAGAGGAUGAGCCCGCGUAGGAUUAGCUAGUUGGUGUGGUAAAGGCGCACCAAGGCGACGAUCCUUAGCUGGUCUGAGAGGAUGAUCAGCCACACUGGGACUGAGACACGGCCCAGACUCCUACGGGAGGCAGCAGUGGGGAAUAUUGGACAAUGGGCGAGAGCCUGAUCCAGCAAUGCCGCGUGAGUGAUGAAGGCCUUAGGGUUGUAAAGCUCUUUUACCCGGGAUGAUAAUGACAGUACCGGGAGAAUAAGCUCCGGCUAACUCCGUGCCAGCCGCCGCGGUAA
rnacentral:rRNA from 1 species